rnacentral:rRNA from 1 species
UUCCGGUUGAUCCUGCCGAAGGAUACUGCUAUUGGAUUACGAUUAAGCCAUGCGAGUCUAAAGGUCUUCGGACCUUGGCAAACUGCUCAGUAACACGUGGAUAAUCUACCCUCAAGUAAGGAAUAAUCCCGGGAAACUGGGGCUAAUACCUUAUAGGCACAGGUGGCUGGAAUGCCCCUGAGCUGAAAGCUCCGGCGCUUGAGGAUGAGUCUGCGACCUAUCAGGUUGUAGUCAGGGUAAUGGCCUGACUAGCCAGUGACGGGUACGGGGUGUGAGAGCACUCGCCCGGAGAUGGUUUCUGAGACACGAAACCAGGCCCUACGGGGCGCAGCAGGCGCGAAAACUUCGCAAUGCGGGAAACCGUGACGAGGGUAAUCCAAGUGCCCAUGCUUUGCAUGGGCUGUUUUUCAGCCUAAAUAGCUGUUAGAGUAAGAGGUGGGCAAGACCGGUGCCAGCCGCCGCGGUAACACCGGCAUCUCGAGUGGUAUCCACUUUUAUUGGGUCUAAAGCGUCCGUAGCUGGUUUAGUAAAUUCCUGGGUAAAUCGUACCGCUUAACGGUGCGGAUUCUGGGGACACUACUAGACUUGGGACCGGGGGAGGUCGGAAGUACUUGUGGGGUAGCGGUGAAAUGUUGUAAUCCUACAGGGACUACCAGUGGCGAAGGCGUCCGACCAAAACGGCUCCGACAGUGAGGGACGAAACCCUGGGGCGCAAACGGGAUUAGAUACCCCGGUAGUCCAGGGCGUAAACGCUGCAGACUUGGUGUUGGAGACUCUAUGUGAGUGUUCAGUGCCGUAGCGAAGGUGUUAAGUCUGCCACCUGGGGAGUACGAUCGCAAGAUUGAAACUUAAAGGAAUUGGCGGGGGAGCACUGCAACAGGUGGAGCGUGCGGUUUAAUUGGAUUCAACGCCGGA